rnacentral:lncRNA from 1 species
CCAGCCCAGACUAUCCCCACCGCCGGGCCGCCAGCCUGGCUGCUGUCUCUCCGGGAGCCGCUGCCAAGCCGUCAGCUCCUUUCAUCGCCCCAAGGCAGCCAGAGGGAGCGCCAGCAGCAGCCUUGGCACACGCCCGCUCCGGCCACUCCCGGCGUGUUCUCAGACACAGACGCCAGCCCAGCGGGGCGGGCACCCAGCUCCGAGCCCACGGCUGCAACAAGGAAGGGUCACUGGGGGACCCAGCCCCCUCAUUACACGUCAGGAAACCUGGGCUGGGGAUCAGCCAGGCCUCCUUUGAAACUGUCUAGCCAAAUCAGCCCGUCAGAGUGGCGAUCAGAUGUCCAUGGGAGGCGGUUCCCUCUGCUGGAAUGUUCUCCAUCCCUCCCCCACCGGCCAGCCCCUCAGGGCUCAGCGAGGGCAGGCCCUUCCUCAGAGGCCCUGACCUUCACCCAGGGCCAAGCUCCCUCUUAGCACUCAUAGCACCCAGCCCAGGCGCCUGGCUGUCAGCCCAGAUGGGCACCUAAGCUAAGGAAGCUUGGGGGAGGGACGGGGGACCUCGCAGGGCUCCCCGUGGGUCCACUUGGUGGUCCUGCUCCUCCCGACAUGUGGGCACAGGCUGGCCUUCCAGGACUUCCGUGUUUGGCUCCUGGAGGCAGGACCCCUGUCCCCAUCCUGACUCCGGGCACCCAGAGGCAGCCGAGAGCUGGGCAGGGGGAUACCCAACUCCACGGAGAUGCCCAUGGCCUCAGGAAACUCUGUCCCACGCCCUUGGCUUUGAGGUGAGGAUAAGAGAGCCCAGCCCUGGCUCCAGGAUCACCUCCAUAGAGUCCGUCCUGGGUCUCUGAGCCUUCACUUCCUCCUCUGCCAAACGGAUUCUGAUUCUUCCUGGUCAGGCUGCUGACAGGUGAUGCUGGGAGUGAAGGUCACCGCCACAAGGGAGUAAGAGCAUCUCUGGUUAGACUUCCUCUCCCCAGGCCUCAGCCCCUCCAUCCAGGAGCCUGAGCUGGGCCUCUGCUUGGCCGUGAUGCCCUCUCUCUGGAUCCACCCAAUGAGGUCAAGAAGGUGCCCCAGCUCUCCCGGCGAGGGCUGGGAUGUCCUGGGUGGAUGCCCACUCUGGUCAGUUGCCAGCAUCUAGACUCCCCACACACCAGCAACUUCAGGAAGGAGGCACAAGGGCAGACAGGCUCUCAGAUGGGCACAAUUCCAGGGCCGUCAUGGCUUCCGGGAGCUUGAUGGGGCCAGGUUCAAAUCCUGGCUCUUCCACUUGCUACCUGAAUGACCUCAGACAAGUGUGAACCGCAUGUCAGAGCCUUCAUUUCCUCAUCUGUAUUGUAGAGGAUCGAUGUGCCUAUCUCCCAGGGCUGCUGGCAGGAUUAGAUAGGUUGCCCUUCGAACAGUCACCUGGAAGCAGGGGGAGGAGCCUGUUCAUGUUGGGCGUUGACCAACAAGAACCAGCAAGAGAGAUGAAGAUGGAUCUGCCCUCGCACAGCUGCAGCAGACUCGCACACUUGGAGGCAACAUGUGACGUGGAGAGACACACUUUAUGUCCAUGUUGUUGGGGGAGCAGCCUGUGCCGUCCCUCGGUGAGCUGGCAUCCUCCUGGCCCUGCUGAGCAAGUGAGCAGAGAUGCGGGGCCAGCCCGGCUCCCAGCCCUGCUACUCCAGCCUCAUCAGCCCCACUCCCUCUCUGGCCUUGCCUCCCUCCUUCAGCACCACCCCGGACUGCGCCAGCAAACCCCGCUCCAUCCCUCAUCCCUUUAACAUCCCUUGGCCCUUGCGCCAAGCCCUGUGCUCAAGCCAGUGGGUGCAGGUGAAGGAGCUGGGUCCCUGUGCAGGGAGAGACAGAAGCUGUAAGAAGAGGCCAGCAGCCAGACACCCAGCCCCGCCGCUCCCCUGCUGGGUGACCUCGGGCAAGUCACUGCAUUGCUCUGGGCCUGUUUCUUCAUCUGUAAAACGGGAUGAUGCCAACCCUAACCUCCCCCUCGUGGGACCAGUGUGAGUAUUAAAUAUAAGUCAGGGCAGGUGAAGUGUUCAGAAAGCGCUGGGCCCAGCAUGCGGGCUGAGUAGGUGUCACUGUUGGUACCAUCGCUGUCACCCUCGGUGCUGGGACAGUGGGUCCAGAUGAGGAGAAAAUGCUGCUUUAUGCUCAUUACUUCCAUCCUCACAACCCCGCUAGAAGGCCACUGUCAGACCCAGAGAAUAGAAUAGGAAACUGAGGUCACACCAAAGCCACCAGACACUGUGCGUGAAGCCUGUGUUCGACCCACCUAGCCCGGUGAUAAGGAUGGGGCAGGAUGAGGGGGGCAGUGCGCUGUCAGAGAGGGGGCUCCUGGGGGCUCUGCAGGACCCCGUGUCCCUGUGUCCUAGGAGGCCGGCAGCCCUGUGGCCUCAUCUCGGUCAGGACCAGGCCAGCCAUCCUGCCCACUGGUCCUCGGGUUCUGGCCCAACUGUCCCCUCCUCCUCGGAGAGGCCUUUGAGCCUCCCAGGGCACCAGCCCCAAAGGACAGCGCCCUCCAGGCCUUCCUUCCAGGCUGGUGAGACGUGUCUCAGCCGAGGUCAUCUCUGUCAUCACUCAGACCAGACGACGUGGGAGGCAGCCACGAGGAACUCCUGUCCUCUCUCAGAGCCCCCUCCCAGGGCCUCCUGCCCAGGUUUCCCUUUAGACCCAUCUCGAGUCCCCCUGGGUGUCUUGAGUCCCAGGACCCGGCAGGGUGGUGGAUCUCUGACAAGCAGAAACAAAGAGGAGGUGCUGGUAGAAGGAGCCCAGGCCGCCCCGAGGCCUGGGAGCAGCUGGGACCCAGCCUCGUUUCCUCGUCCGUGCAGCGAGAGCCACAGCACCUACAGGAGCCCCAGGGUCCUGAGGGAACCACCUUGAGCCUCAGUCUCCUCAUCUGUAAACCGAGGCUGAUGACUCCAGGCCCAUGUCACAGGACCGCAGAGAGAAAUGCCCGACAUUGGGACUGUGGGGUCACAGGAACGUGCUACCAACCUACACGCAGAGUUCGGAACAGCUGUGUACAGCUGGCUCUCGGGAGCCGGUGAGAGCCACCUCCAUGACACCACAGCUCCCCACAGCCCACCUUUCUUCUCCCCUCACCCACCCCUCUCCUGCCACACCGGCCGUGCUUCUGGUCCCCACACACACCAGGCAUGUUCCUGCCUCAGGGCCUUUGCACGUACUGUGUCCUCCACCCGGAUGCUCUUCCUCUGGUUGUGGCAUGGCUGGCCUUGUCUUGCCUUCCAAGUCUCAGCUCAAAUGUCACCUUCUCCAAGAAGCCUGCCCUGACCACCUUGGUAAUAUUGCUCUCCCUCCCUGACCCACACACCCCUGCCACUCGUGAUUUUAUGCCGUCUUAUUUCUAUCAAGGCACUCGACGCUACUUGUGUGACACACGUUUCUCUGUCAUGUGUUUUUAUCUGUUCAUUAUCUGUCUAGCCUCCCACAGUGUUUGCUCCAUCGAAGCCAGGCCUCCUCGGCUCGGUCAUUGCUGUGUCCCUUUUGCUUAUAGCACAGUGCCUGGCUCAUGAUUCCUGACAGCGGGAGCGGGGAGGACGAGGAGGAGGCAGAACAGGAAAAUAUUUUGAAGGCUGGUCUCUAAGUGGCUUUAGGAACCACUAAGCCAGAAUGGCCUGGACAAGGUCAGCUGGUUUGGUGCCCACCUUCCCGCCCAUCGCUGGGCCACAGACUGUCACACAGGUCAGAGCCCCCCAGUCCUCUGCCCUUUCCUGAACCAUCUGGAAGCUGGAAAGUCACUGUCCUGACACAGGUCACAACAUCCGAGCACCUUCCCCAGACAGACCCCAGGCUGGGCACCGAGGAAGGGUUGCUUGCACCUGAGCUGGGCCUGAGCUGGGCCUGAGCUGGGCCUUGAAGGAGAAGCAAAGUCCACCACUCCCUGCAGGGAGCUGUGGGCAGACACACCCCAAAAAACAAAUACACUGCGAUGGGCGCCAGGACAAGCCACCGAGAGCAGCAGGACAGCCAGUGGCCUGAGGGCAGGGGUGGGCGCCACCUGCUGGUCACAGAUGAGAAGUGCACCUGGUGCCCACUUGGUCCUUCUGGAGGAGCCCGUGCUCCGGACUCUGAAGCCCUGGGCGGUGACUCCUGGGCUCCCACCCGAGGCACAACAUCCUCCUCCCCACGAGUUUCUCCAAAUAGCUGCUUCACGUGCUUUUCAUAGACGUGAUGUUUUUACAUGUCAGAAGUGUGUCAGAUACUCUAUAAAUCUUCAUAAACUCCCCAAACGUGGUACAGGGCUGGCCCCUGUGCUAGGCACUGGUGACAUGGUGACCAGCCAGAUAGCCAUGGUCCCUGCGGGCUCUGAGGGCAGGAGGCCAAUACUAAACACUGUCACAAAGGGCCCAUUUAGUGACAAGCGUAAUCACGGCUAACGGGGAAGCGGAGAGGGGAACGUUGCGUCACUUGCCCCCUCGCCAGCUCUGCAAGGACGGAUGUGACUGCUGCUUUACAGACGAGGCUCAGAGAGGUGGAGUGGUCCACGCGGCAGGAGGAGAUGCAGCUCAGACAGGGACCCAGGGCUGCCAGGCCACCGGAGGCGGGAGGGUGCAGGCUCCCCCGCAGGCCCACUGCCAGGCUGCAGAAAUGGUCCCCAACUCCCUUCCUAACAAGGCCCAGAGAGCAGCUGUGUCUCCAAAGCCUGGUUUCAAUGGGUUUCUGCCAUCGCUAGGACUAAGACCUGGCCCCCUGCAAGAGCUGCGCUCUUCUCCCGUCUAAAGGGACAAGUAGACAGAACCCCGAGUCCUCACAUGCCGUCAGCCAGACCUUCUCCCCUCCCCCCACCUCCUUUCGUCUAAUGAUCCCACCAUCCUUCAGGAGAGAAGAGGGCCCUGCAGUAAGAUGUGGCCGUCCCUGGGCCACCUGGGAAUUGCCAUCUCUUUCCCGGCCUCAGUUUCCCCUCCUGUCUACUGAGAGGUCAGAUUGACUCCUCUGAAGACCUCGGUUGAUCUGAAGUGUUAAAAUCCUCUUCGCCAGCCUUCCUCCUCCCUUCGUCAGCAAGCACAGAGACGCACAGACCUCUCAGUGAUGCUGGGCAUCCUCAGUUUCCACAGGGUGACUCGUCUUGGGAGACCAAAGCCAAAAUGGUUUGGAGACGGUACAGGCAAACUGGACUCCCUGCCACAUGGCGGCUCAGGGAUGCGGCAGUCAGGACAGCCUUGCCUCCCUCUGGGUCAGUGACGCAACCCGCCAGCCGCCGGAGGGCUUGAUGGGCCAGGCUCCCGGGCAGGUCCCCUCCCUCUCUGAAUUUUGGCCCCUCACACCAUUUGCAGACGCUCUUUGAGCUGGUAUCUGAAGCCCCCUUGAGGGUAAAUCAUGCAGUUCUCUACAAAUGUGGUGGGAGGGGGCAGGCUGGAACCCAGCUCCUGAUCCUGGCGCCCCUGUUUUAAUAGCUGAGAGCCCUUGGGCAGGUUCCCAAAAAUGUCCACUGGUGUCCCAUCUCAUCACUGGUCAAACGAGGAUGAUGGCAGUGUCUGGCCCCUGCGGUGGAAGGACCAGGUGAGAUGACCCUGUACACAGAGGGCAGGGCACCUGGGCAUCAUUAGUGCUCACCAAGAGUUAGUCUGAUGGUGAGUGUUGCCCAGGCCGGCCUGUGUUGGUCUCCCCAGACGUGCAAUGAAGACUGGAUGGGCAAACAUUGAUUGCACACACCUUGCACAAUCACCUUGCACAACCCUUGACACUUUUACAUCCGUCAUCUCACCUAACCCUAGCAAAACCCACUUCCAUCCCCAUUUUUCAGUUGGGGAAACUGAGGCCCAGAGAGGGAGAGGGACGUUCCCGGGGUCACACUGUGCUGGGGUAGUGCUGGAUUCAAACCUGGAAGCUCUAGAAUCAAGCCCUGGUCGCUGGGGAAUGUCAGCAUCAACUCACCAGGGGAGCAGCCUGACCCUGGACCCGGGUCCUGGUGGAAAAUCAGAGAUCCCCUGAUCAGCAUCACACGUGCACCUUCUCACUGCGGCCACAGGGGGGCAGCAGCGUCCCGGCCAUCGCUGUGCAGCGGCUCUCCCACCUCCGCCCCGCCUGGAGCACAGCGUCAGCCGGCAGGGGAACCCAGACUGCCCAGGACCAGGCACAGGAGAAGCCUACAGCUUUGUUUAAUCUACACAGAGUCUUUCAAAAAAGUAUAACUGGUUGCUGGAAUUUAAAAAUCAGAAGAUUUCAUACCCAAAUCCAGAUUUCUAGGCUUUCUGGAAAAACCCAGAAAAUCUGUCAACCCUGGGAGCCCACUCUAGCUGCCUGGAAGCCACGAGCUAGACUGGACAGCUUCAUCCCCAUGGGCACUUCUGUCCCCUCCCCACACACACUCAUUAAUGUGGCCCCUGGGCUUCAGGAGGCAUUUGUGGUUGAGACCCUGGGGGCUCCCCAGCGGUGCUGUCCUGUGAGUGAGCUUCGCAACCUGAGCACUAUGGACACUGAGCAUCAGAUAACGCUUUGGUGUCUGGGGACUGUCCUGCAUGCUGAAAGGUGUCAGCAGCACCCACACCCCCAAGUUAUAACAACCAAAACUGUCUCCAGACAUUGCCCAUGUCCCUGGGGACACUGCCUCGAGCCUUUGAAAGCGGGAGAAGGCAUGGGUUGCCUCCAGGCGCAGAACCAGCAAACACUGCCAGCACCCCUCUGGGAAGGUCCCUGAGCUACAGGGCCACCCCAGGGCCCGAGCUGGACCAGUGCCCUUCCAUCCUCCUAACUCCGGGGUCUGGAGGUGUAGGGUGGGGUUGCAGCAGAGCGUGCCUAAUACUGGGGUAGAGGGACACAGCAUGGGGUGGGGGUCACUGAGCCCACCCCAUACCCAGGCAAGGGCACCAGGAGACAGUUCCGUGAUACAGACAGAUGGACCAGCUUAGAGCAAAGGACAGCAGUGGCUGGAGAGGUUCCCACAGUUCAGUGUUGCUAGGGACAUCCAUGGGCUACUCACCCUGGAAGUCCUGAGGGCAGCCUCCCCAACUCGGAACCUUCUCCUGCCAGUCACACAGCACCCCCACCAUCGACACUGCAGGAGCCACCCUGCUCCAGCUCACUGCAGGCCCGACCCCUGCCCCACACCCCCCAGCACCAUGAGCUCCAGGACAGGCUGGGGCCUGUCCUCCCCCAAGAGGACACUAAAAGUCUGACGGAGGAGCUGGCCUUCCGUGACCUAGCCUUUCCUUGGGCCCUAGCUCCCAAGGAAGCAACUGCCACCAACAAGCCCCCACAUUCCACCCCUGGGGCCUAAGGCCGGCCUUCAGGAGUCCAGACAGGGUCUUCCAGGCCAGCAGACACCACACACCCCAGUGAAAGGGAGGGAAAGUAUGAACAGUCCCAGGAGGUCCCUUCUGUGGCCGAGGAUUGGGGAAACUCAAGGUCAGUGGCCUGGUGAUCAUGGUCAAGGCCCAGCCAGGAGGUCUGAGACCUGACCCCGAUCACGGCUCUGGUGUUGGGGAAGCAGAAGGAAGAAUGGUCGGACCACAUGCUGCCCCACAGCCCAGGACCAGGAGCGGGCUCCACUCACCCCAAAGCAGCAAGACACAGGCUAUGGUGGAGAACACUUAGGCUCAGAGAAACCAAGUAAUGUGGCCAAGGACACACAGCAAAGAAAAUGUUGGAACCCAGGCUGGAACCAUGGUGGACCCAGCUCCUAGUCCAGUGAAGCUUGCUCCACACUUCACUUGUACUGUCGUCAUCUGAUUACCAAGCUUACGCUAACCUGAUAAAGUCAGUUAAGAGUGUUGACUGCUUCUCCACCCUGGAGUCGAAAUUUGGGGUGACAUUGACUCUUCAUUCUUUCCUACACUCUGGACACAGCCCUUUGGACACUAACUCUGAAGGGGUCUCCUGGCCCCCCCAGGCGUGGCGCC